rnacentral:rRNA from 1 species
UAUGUCCUACGGGAGGCAGCAGUGGGGAAUAUUGGGCAAUGGAGGAAACUCUUACCCAGCAAUGCCGCGUGAAUGAAGAAGGUCUUCGGAUUGUAAAGUUCUUUAAUUGGGGACGAAAAAAAUGAUGGUACCCAAGGAAUAAGCCCCGGCUAACUACGUGCCAGCAGCCGCGGUAAUACGUAGGGGGCAAGCGUUGUUCGGAAUGACUGGGCGUAAAGGGAGUGUAGGUGGUGUAGCAAGUUAGAAGGGAAAUACCUAGAGGU